rnacentral:tRNA from 1 species
GUUCCUGUAGCGCAAUGGAUAGCGCGUUGGACUUCUAAUCCAAAGGUUGUGGGUUCGAAUCCCACCUGGAAUG